UCUUGAGAAUUUUUUAGAGAUAAUAAGAAAAACAAGCAAAACAUAUGCUAGAUUAAUCAUUUUAUUUCAAAAGUUUGAAAGAAAAAUAGAAAAAUGCUUCAAUUUAUAGACAUCUUUUCUGUUUCACAGAUGUGGGUCUGAUUGACGGGGGUGUGAAAUGUAACAGCCAAUGGUGUACUUAAGCUAGGACUGACAGUCCCAAUUUUCAAGAGCAAUGCAUUCUUAAGAUGGAGGAGAUUAAUGAACCCUCCCCCCUUACAAUGAACAACACAUGGACACUCUGAGGAUGAUCCCUUUGCUUCCAUUAAGAGUUCCAAGAUGUGGGUCUGAUUGACGGGGGUGUGAAAUGUAACAGCCAAUGGUGUACUUAAGCUAGGACUGACAGUCCCAAUUUUCAAGAGCAAUGCAUUCUUAAGAUGGAGGAGAUUAAUGAACCCUCCCCCCUUACAAUGAACAACACAUGGACACUCUGAGGAUGAUCCCUUUGCUUCCAUUAAGAGUUCCAAGAUGUGGGUCUGAUUGACGGGGGUGUGAAAUGUAACAGCCAAUGGUGUACUUAAGCUAGGACUGACAGUCCCAAUUUUCAAGAGCAAUGCAUUCUUAAGAUGGAGGAGAUUAAUGAACCCUCCCCCCUUACAAUGAACAACACAUGGACACUCUGAGGAUGAUCCCUUUGCUUCCAUUAAGAGUUCCAAGAUGUGGGUCUGAUUGACGGGGGUGUGAAAUGUAACAGCCAAUGGUGUACUUAAGCUAGGACUGACAGUCCCAAUUUUCAAGAGCAAUGCAUUCUUAAGAUGGAGGAGAUUAAUGAACCCUCCCCCCUUACAAUGAACAACACAUGGACACUCUGAGGAUGAUCCCUUUGCUUCCAUUAAGAGUUCCAAGAUGUGGGUCUGAUUGACGGGGGUGUGAAAUGUAACAGCCAAUGGUGUACUUAAGCUAGGACUGACAGUCCCAAUUUUCAAGAGCAAUGCAUUCUUAAGAUGGAGGAGAUUAAUGAACCCUCCCCCCUUACAAUGAACAACACAUGGACACUCUGAGGAUGAUCCCUUUGCUUCCAUUAAGAGUUCCAAGAUGUGGGUCUGAUUGACGGGGGUGUGAAAUGUAACAGCCAAUGGUGUACUUAAGCUAGGACUGACAGUCCCAAUUUUCAAGAGGAAAAACCCCUACAUAAACAAAUACAUGGGCGCAGACAUUUUGGACACCCAAAGUUGUGCGGAGGAGAAAAUGCUAGCUGGCGCAUGGUUGGUCAAUAAGAGAAAAGACUUGUUAUGUAUCUGACUAGUGAAAUAAAGUUGAUAAAAAUCUCAUAGCAAGACUUGGGAUUCUUUGAGAUAUAUAGGAGUUACAGGUAAAAAUUUGAA